UACGUAGGGGGCUAGCGUUAUCCGGAAUUACUGGGCGUAAAGGGUGCGUAGGUGGUUUCUUAAGUCAGAGGUGAAAGGCUACGGCUCAACCGUAGUAAGCCUUUGAAACUGGGGAACUUGAGUGCAGAAGAGGAGAGUGGAAUUCCUAGUGUAGCGGUGAAAUGCGUAGAUAUUAGGAGGAACACCAGUUGCGAAGGCGGCUCUCUGGACUGUAACUGACACUGAGGCACGAAAGCGUGGGGAGCAAACAGG
rnacentral:rRNA from 1 species